ACUCAAAUGAAUUGACGGGGGCCCGCACAAGCAGCGGAGCGUGUGGUUUAAUUCGAUGCAACGCGAAGAACCUUACCCAGACUUGACAUGGCCUUGAAACGCCGGGAAACCGGUGCCUCUUCGGACAGGGUCACAGAUGUUGCAUGGCUGUCGUCAGCUCGUGUCGUGAGAUGUUGGGUUAAGUCCCGCAACGAGCGCAACCCUCGUGCUAUGUUACUACUCAUAGCAGACUGCCGGUACAAGCCGGAGGAAGGUGGGGAUGACGUCAAGUCCGCAUGGCUCUUACGUCUGGGGCUACACACACGCUACAAUGGCCAGGACAAUACGCAGCCACGGGGCGACCCGGAGCGAAUCGGAAAACCUGGUCUCAGUUCGGAUUGCAGGCUGCAACUCGCCUGCAUGAAGUCGGAGUUGCUAGUAACCGCGUGUCAGCAUAGCGCGGUGAAUAUGUUCCCGGGCCUUGCACACACCGCCCGU
rnacentral:rRNA from 1 species